AUUGAACGCUGGCGGCAGGCCUAACACAUGCAAGUCGAACGAGUGGCGGACGGGUGAGUAAUGUCUGGGAAACUGCCUGAUGGAGGGGGGUCACUACUGGGAACGGUAGCUAAUACCGCAUACCAUCGGAUGUGCCCCGAUGGGAUUAGCUAGUAGGUGGGGUAAAGGCUCACCUGGGCGACGAUCCCUAGCUGGUCUGAGAGGCUGACCAGCCACAUUGGAAUUGAGACACGGCCCAGACUCCUACGGGAGGAAGCAGUGGGGAAUAUUGCAAAAGGGCGGCAAGCUUGAGGCAGCAAUGCCGCGGGUAUGAAGAAGGCCUUCGGGUUGUAAAUUACUUUCAGCGGGGAGGCGUUACCCGCAGAAGAAGCACCGGCUAACUCCGUGCCAGCAGCCGCGGUAAUAC
rnacentral:rRNA from 1 species